UACGUAGGUGGCAAGCGUUGUUCGGAAUUAUUGGGCGUAAAGGGCGCGUAGGCGGUUUGGUAAGUCAGCUGUGAAAGCCCGGGGCUCAACCCCGGAGGGUCGGCUGAUACUGCUAGGCUAGAGUACGGAAGAGGUAGCUGGAAUUCCCGGUGUAGCGGUGAAAUGCGUAGAUAUCAGGAGGAACACCCGUAGCGAAGGCGGCACUCUGGGCCGAUACUGACACUGAGGAGCGAAAGCGUGGGGAGCGAACAGG
rnacentral:rRNA from 1 species